rnacentral:rRNA from 1 species
UACGUAGGGUGCAAGCGUUGUCCGGAAUUAUUGGGCGUAAAGAGCUCGUAGGCGGUUUGUCGCGUCUGCUGUGAAAGACCGGGGCUCAACUCCGGUUCUGCAGUGGGUACGGGCAGACUAGAGUGCAGUAGGGGAGACUGGAAUUCCUGGUGUAGCGGUGAAAUGCGCAGAUAUCAGGAGGAACACCGAGUGGCGAAGGCAGGUCUCUGGGCUGUAACUGACGCUGAGGAGCGAAAGCAUGGGGAGCGAACAGG